UACGGGGGGGGUAAGCGUUGUUCGGAAUUACUGGGCGUAAAGGGCUCGUAGGCGGCCAACUAAGUCGGACGUGAAAUCCCUCAGCUUAACUGGGGAACUGCGUCUGAUACUGGAUGGCUUGGAUUUGGGAGAGGGAUGCGGAAUUCCAGGUGUAGUGGUGAAAUGCGUAGAUAUCGGGAGGAACACCAGUGGCGAAGGCGACUACCUGGCCUGUUCUUGACGCUGAGGCGCGAAAGCUAGGGGAGCAAACGGG
rnacentral:rRNA from 1 species